AUAUAUAUAUAUAUAUAUAUAUAUAUAUAUAUAUCAGAUACUCCUCAAUUUAUGAACAUUUGAGUUGUAGAUAGGAAGCCUGACUCAAGAGCAACAAUGAAACGACUGUACAUCAAGAUCAAGAUCAUUCACCCAGUGCCAGUCUAUGUGGCUAGCAUGAAUAAGUGUUUUUCAGUGUUUUCAAUAUUCCAAGUUUUGUGAUACUUGAGUUUAGUUCUGUGGCUCUGGAAGAAAAGCAGGCGCAAAUAUUGAGAAGACCUGGAUCCUUCUGAAACAUGAGGCUCAGCUCGAUGGGUUUGAGGCCAUGGAAGUUAUCAACAGAGGAGGAGGAAGCCACAACACCUGAUAUAGUAUUCAAAGACAAGAAGGCUUCACCUCCAAAGUCAUUGCAGGAAAGCAGAACCUGGAGUCCUCCAUAAUCAAAGUCUUUUUGCUGUGCUGAUGGGCUACUACUGCCAUGGUAUGAAGACAAUGAACAAGUCACCAAUACACAUCUGUUUUAUUAAACUCUCUGAAUCCUGUAGCCUUUGUUUGUUCUUAUGUGAAUUUUGUGCUUGCUUUCUGUGCAUAGUAAGAUCCUCUAUUUAUACAAUAAGUCUCUAGUUUCCCAGAAUUCUGACAUAUAGUAAAUAAUAUUUGAUAAGUAAAUAGAGACAAUCCAGAUUCUUGGGGUAUAGAGACAUGAGGAGGGAAGGGAGAUGAUGAAUGAGAGAGGCACAAAAUAUGAAAGAACAGAAAUGGUCAAAACAGGUGUGAGGGGCACAUGUAGAGUUUUCUGGAGUUGGGAACACAUGAAAUAAAGCACUCCUCUAUACAAACUCCAUCAUAGAUACCAUUCCAGCACUGACUAAUGAACAGAAUAUUGUGACCUAUUUUUUAUUUUAUUUUUUUUUAUGUAGGAUGGACACUGGCCAAGGGCAACAAAAAUCCAAUAAAAAAAAAAAAAAUCCCACUGAGAUGCCAGUCCCAGAAAAGGGUCCAAAGUGGUAGUAAAAACUUGAAAGAUGAGUGUCUUGAAACCUCCCUCUUGAAUUAAUUCAAGUCAUAGGAAGGUGGAAAUACAGAAACAGGCAGGGAGUUCCAGAGUUUACCAGAGAAAGGGAUGAAUGAUUGAGAAUACUGGUUAACUCUUGCAUUAGAGAUGUGGACAGAAUAGGGGUGAGAAAAAGAAGAAAGUCUUGUGCAGUGAGGCCACGAGGGGAGGGGAGGCAUGCAGUUAGCAAGAUCAGAAGAGCAGUUUGCAUGAAAAUAGCGGUAGAAGAUAGGAAUAGAUGCAAUAUUGCUGCGAUGAAAGAGAGGCUGAAGACAGUCAGUUAGAGGAGAGGAGUUGAUGAGAUGAAAAGCUUUUGAUUCCACCCUGUCUAGAAGAGCAGUAUGAGCGGAACACCCCCAGACAUGUGAAGCAUACUCCAUACAUGGACGGAUAAGGCCCUUGUACAGAGUUAGCAGCUAGGGGGGUGAGAAAAACUGGAAGAGACGUCUCAGAACGCCUAACUUCAUAGAAGCUGUUUCAGCUAUAGAUAAGAUGUGAAGUUUCCAGUUCAGAUUAUAUGUAAAGGACAGACCGAGGAUAUUCAGUGUAGAAGAGGGGGACAGUUGAAUGUCAUUGAAAAAGAGGGGAUUGUUGUCUGAAAGGAUGUGUUGAGCUGAUAGAUGGAGGUAUUGAGUUUUUGAUGCAUUGAACAAUACCAAAUUUACUUUGCCCCAAUCAGAAAUUUUAGAAAGAUCAGAAGUCAGGUGUUCUGUGGCUUCCGUGUGAAAUAUUUACUUCCUGAAGUGUUGGACGUCUAUGAAAAGACAUGGAAAAGUGCAGGAUGGUAUCAUCAGCGUAGGAGUGGAUAGGACAAGAAGUUUGGUUUAGAAGGUCAUUAAUGAAUAAUAAGAAGAGAGUGGGUGACAAGACAGAACCCUGAGGAAAACCACUGUUAAUAGAUUUUGAAGAACAGCAGCAAUAGAACGGUCAGAAAGGAAACUUGAGAUGAAAUUACAGAGAGAAGGAUAGAAGCUGUAGGAGGGUAGUUUGGAAAUCAAAGCUUUGUGCCAGACUCUAUCAAAAGCUUUUGAUAUAUCCAAGGCAAUAGCAAAAGUUUCACCAAAAUCUCUAAAAGAGGAUGACCAAGACUCAGUAAGGAAAGCCAGAUCACCAGUAGAGCAGCCUUGACGGAACCCAUACUGGUGAUCAGAUAGGUUGUGAAGUGAUAGAUGUUUAAGAAUCUUCCUGCUAAGAAUAGAUUAAAAAACUUUAGAUAGGCAGGAAAUUAAAGCACUAGGACAGUAGUUUGAGGGAUUAGAACAGCAACUCUUUUUAGGAACAGGAUGAAUGUAGACAAACUUCCAGCAAGAAGGAAAGGUAGAUAUUGACAGAGUUGAAAGAGUUUGACUAGGCAAGGUGAAAGCACAGAGGCACAGUUUUGGAGAACAACAGGAGGGACCCCAUCAAGUCUAUUAGCAUUUUAAAGGUUAAGGCCAGCAAGGGCAUGGAAAACAUCAUUGUGAAUAAUCUUAAUAGGUAGCAUGAAGUAGUCAAAGGGUGGAGGAGAGGGAGGAACAAGCCCUGAAUCGUCCAAGGUAGAGUUUUUAGCAAAGGUUUGAGGGAAGAGUUCAGCUUUAGAGAUAGAUGUGAUAGCUAUGGUGCCAUCUGGUUGAAAUAAGGGAGGGAAAAAAGAAGAAGCAAAGUUAAUGGAGAUAUUUUUGGCUAGAUACCAUAAGUCAUAAGGGGAGUUAGAUUUUGAAAGAUCUUGAAGGAGUUUUUAGCUAGUUGGAGAACUGACUUGGCAUGGUUCUGGGCAGAAAUGUAAAGUGCAUGAGAUUCUGGUGAUGGAAGGCUUAAGUACCUUUUGUGGGCCACCUCACUAUCAUGUAUAGCACGAGAACAAGCUGUGGUAAACCAAGGUUUGGAAGGUCUAGGUUGAGAAAAACAGUGAGCAAUGUACGCCUCCAUGCCAGACACUAUCACCUCUGUUAUGUGCUCGGCACACAAAGACGGGUGUCUGACACGGAAGCAGUAGUGAUUCCAAAGAAAAUCAGCAAAAUACCUCCUUAGGUCUCCCCCAACUAGCAGAGGCAAAACUCCACAGGUACCUCCCUUUGGGAGGAUCCUGAGGAGGGAUUGGAGCAAUAGGACAAGAUACAGAUAUGAGAUUGUGAUCGGAGGAGCCCAACGGAGAAGAUAGAGUAACAGCAUAAGCAGAAAGAUUACAGGGCAGGAAAAGGCCAAGAAUGUUGGGUGUAUCUCCAAGAUGGUCAGGAAUAUGAGAAGGGUGUUGCACCAAUUGCUCUAGGUCAUGGAGGACAGCAAAGUUGAAGGCUAGUUCAUCAUGAUGGUCAGUGAAGGGAGAGAAAAGCCAAAGCUGGUGGUGAACAUUGAAGUCUCCAAGAAUGGAGAUCUCUGCAAAAGGGUGUCAGAAUGUACUCCACUCUGGAAGUUAAGAAGUCAAAGAAUUUCUCAUAGUCAGAGGAGUUAGGUGAGAGGUAUACAACAAAGAUAAAUUUAGUUUGAGAGUGACUCUGUAGUCAUAGCGAGAUGGUGGAAAACUCGGAAGAUUCAAGAGCAUGGGCACAAGAGCAGGUUAAGUCAUUGCGCACAUAAACGCAACAUCCAGCUUUGGAUUGAAAAUGAGGAUAGAGAAAGGAGGGAACAGAAAAGGGGCUACUGUCAGUUGCCUCAGACACCUGUGUUUCAGUGAGGAAAAGAAGAUGAGGUUUAGAAGAGGAGAGGUGGUGGUCUACAGAUUGAAAAUUAGAUAUAAGACUGCGAAUGUUGCAGAAGUUAAUGAAGAAAAAGUUGAAGGGGAUGUCAAGACACUUAGGGUCAUUAUCAGAAGAGCAAUCCGAUCUGGGGACAUGUGAUCCCCUCCCCAGAUGGGGACUCUGAGGCUGGUGUAGGAGUCGCCAUGAUAGUUUUGAAUUUUUGAGUGAAGGGUGUGUGUGUUAUCAGGUGCUUGUAGUUUUGUGUGGAGAAAGAGAAUUGUCUUUAGAGGGUAGUCUGUGACUGCCCCCAUGUGUUGUAAGACACAAAGGGAAACGUUCAGUGAGGUCACAGCUGGGUUUAAUGAAAAGUUCACAGCACCCCCUGAUCCAGUGCUUUAGACCUCACUGGGAGUAAUUAUCAUUUUGGCAGGUGCCUACUGCCUCCUCCACUGAUGUUAUGAUUAGCUGUUGACAAUGACAGCAAUGGUUGAAAGAUCAGUGUAUGUACUAUAUUUCAUCAUGGCAUUUUGUAUUUUGAAGACAUUGCAGACAAGAGGUUUGAGAAAAAUUUAAUGCAUACUGAUAAACAAACAACAGUAAUUUACAUUGUGUCUCCUGUAUUGAUUUGAUAGCUAUCUUUAUUGAGCAGUAUUGUGUAGUAUUUUUUCACUUAAAUUCAAGCAGACUUUCCUUGAGGCACUUCACAAUUAG